UAGUUGUCCAGGUUCUGGCGUCGCUGCGGGUGGCGAAACUGAAGUAGGCUAGGUCGACGGACUACCCAAGGCCAGAGAGUGUGGGCGGGAGGCCGUCGGAAUUCUGUGACUUUCUGGGGUGCAGGCAGCACAACGCUGUGCAGUGCCUGGACGGAAGCCAGACAGCAUUGCUAUGCACCGCUGGGCGGUCCCUAAGUUUCCAUGCCUGGUUGUUCUCAAGGUUUGCUCCGGAUCUGAUAGUCGCCCGUGACCCCUUUCCGCAGGUACAUGGCUUGUCUUGGGUUCGCGGUGGAACAUCCAAGUGCCAAGUUGGGUUGGCAAAACAGCUAAGGUGAAGGAGUUGGAGUCACUCGUGAGGAAUAUCUUUAGAGAACAGUCGGCUCUUCAGAACCAAAGAGCACAGGACUUUCAAGGACCCCACUAGUGUCUCGUGAGUGGUCCUGAAGCUCUCCGCCGUUUUGAGCUUAUGGCAGCGGUUUAUUGUAAGCCCUGGAGGUGCGCUGCUGUGCAAGCUGCAGGACUCUCCACAAAGUUUCUCAGGAUGACUACACAAACUUACUUAUGUGCUGCCUUUAGAGGACGUUGCCACAUUUCGCCCCUGGCGACAUUGUGGCAGAUCUUUUUCCUUCCCCAUUUCUGCUUUUUCCUGAGUUACUUGUCUUUUACCAUCGUCCCUCUUGGGUUGCACUGAUCAAUUUAGUUCCCUGUCUCCUCCUAGGGCUAUCCAGCAUGUAGUCGGGGGUCUACAAGGGACACAAGGAGAAGUGGGUUUGUUUGUUUGUUUGUUGCUUUUUUGUUUUUUUGCAGCCUGGCAGCCAGCCUCUGGAGCUCAUCUCACAUAAUGGCCUGCAAAUGUCGUUAUCAGGCACCAGAAAGCAGGGAACUCUUGCGACGCUUCGAUGUGAGGUAGUAUUUCAUUUUAUAUCUUGAGGCUUCCAAGGAUACUGGAGACUCAGACAUCAUCUCAUGCUAAGCUGUUUGAGACAAACCACAAGUGAUCCCAGUCCUUGGAAGCUGGAGGCAGGCGAUCAGAAUUCCAAGGACUACACAGCAAGUUUGUGACUAGCCUGAGAUACAGGAGACGCUGGAGGCAGGCGGAUCAGAAUUCCAAGGACUACACAGCAAGCUGGAGGCAGGCGGAUCAGAAUUCCAAGGACUACACAGCAAGCUGGAGGCAGGCGAUCAGAAUUCCAAGGACUACACAGCAAGCUGGAGGCAGGCAAUCAGAAUUCCAAGGACUACACAGCAAGCUGGAGGCAGGCGAUCAGAAUUCCAAGGACUACACAGCAAGUUUGAGACUAGCCUGAGAUACAGGAGACCUAGUCUCAGGAGUUAAAAAAAUAAAAUAAAGACAAGCCUU
rnacentral:lncRNA from 1 species